rnacentral:rRNA from 1 species
UGCCAGCCGCCGCGGUAAUACGAAGGGGGCUAGCGUUGUUCGGAAUAACUGGGCGUAAAGCGCACGUAGGCGGAUUGGAAAGUUAGAGGUGAAAUCCCAGGGCUCAACCCUGGAACUGCCUUUAAAACUAUCAGUCUAGAGGUCGAGAGAGGUGAGUGGAAUUCCGAGUGUAGAGGUGAAAUUCGUAGAUAUUCGGAGGAACACCAGUGGCGAAGGCGGCUCACUGGCUCGAUACUGACGCUGAGGUGCGAAAGUGUGGGGAGCAAACAGGAUUAGAUA